GACGAACGCUGGCGGCGUGCUUAACACAUGCAAGUCGAACGGAAAGGCCCUGCUUUUGUGGGGUGCUCGAGUGGCGAACGGGUGAGUAACACGUGAGUAACCUGCCCUUGACUUUGGGAUAACUUCAGGAAACUGGGGCUAAUACCGGAUAGGAGCUCCUGCUGCAUGGUGGGGGUUGGAAAGUUUCGGCGGUUGGGGAUGGACUCGCGGCUUAUCAGCUUGUUGGUGGGGUAGUGGCUUACCAAGGCUUUGACGGGUAGCCGGCCUGAGAGGGUGACCGGCCACAUUGGUACUGAGAUACGGCCCAGACUCCUACGGGAGGCAGCAGUGGGGAAUAUUGCACAAUGGGCGGAAGCCUGAUGCAGCAACGCCGCGUGCGGGAUGACGGCCUUCGGGUUGUAAACCGCUUUCGCCUGUGACGAAGAGUGAGUGACGGUAAUGGGUAAAGAAGCACCGGCUAACUACGUG
rnacentral:rRNA from 1 species